UUCGGGCGGCGGACGUCGGUGUCAGGGAUCCGUAAAGACCCGCCCGACGUUCUGGCUGUCGUACGGCGAGUGCACUUUCUCCGGGUAGAGCGCCACGACCGGUUUCGGCGGCGGUCACAAGCCGGUCGGGAAGGUGACUUCUUUCUUCGGAAGGAAGUGUUAUAGCCCGGCCAGGUGGACUCGCUCCGAGACCGAGGAUUUGCCGCGUCUCGCCUGCCCUCGGCCCUCCGGGUGCGUACGACUGGGGAAGCACUGCUUGCAGUUCUCUCCGACCGCGUGCCCGCGAUAGGUCGGGAAGCACGAGGCGCUUCGGGUCAGUGGCGAAUCGGUCGGUCCUCCACCCGACCCGUCUUGAAACACGGACCAAGGAGUCUAACAUGUGCGCGAGUCAUGGGGUUACAUACGAAACCUACAGGCGCAAUGAAAGUGGAGGUCCACCUCCGGUGGGCCUAGGUAGGAUCCCCGUC
rnacentral:rRNA from 1 species